rnacentral:lncRNA from 1 species
UUCGUGAAAGGUUGACAAAUAACAUAAUUCAUCUUAUUCCCAUCCACACUUCACUCUAAUUGGCUGACAUUUUCACCAAAUCUCUUUCACCUUCUCCUUUUCGUCAAAUUAUCUCCAAACUUGGCAUUAUUAAUAUUCAUAUGCCAAGUUACGGGGGUGUGAUGAAAAUAUUGAAGAUAUAUGCAGCCCAUAUCAAAGC